rnacentral:rRNA from 1 species
UACGUAGGGGCAAGCGUUGUCCGGAAUUAUUGGGCGUAAAGAGCGUGUAGGCGGUCCGGUAAGUCGGCUGUGAAAGUCCAGGGCUCAACCCUGGGAUGCCGGUCGAUACUGCCGGACUAGAGUUCGGAAGAGGCGAGUGGAAUUCCCGGUGUAGCGGUGAAAUGCGCAGAUAUCGGGAGGAACACCUAUGGCGAAGGCAGCUCGCUGGGACGUUACUGACGCUGGAGGCGACGGAAAGCGUGGGGAUCAAACAGG